rnacentral:lncRNA from 1 species
UCUCCCAGUCUUACAAUCUUCCAUAUAAAUCACAUAAUCCUGAUUGCGAACCAAAUCCCAAAUCUCCGAGUCUUACAAUCUUCCAUAAAUCACAAAAUCCUGAUUGAAAACCAAAUCCCCAAUCUCCCAAGUCUUACAAUCUUCCAUAAAUCACAAAAUCCUGAUUGCAAACCAAACCCCAGAUCAUCCCUUCCGAGGCCUGGGGGUGCCCAGUACGGGAACUUACGGGAAAACAAACAGGGGGGGUCACAAAGUGAAUGGAUCGCAAAAGGGCGCCAUACAUUUUGCUUAGAGAUACUCAACCUUCUAAGAUGACUGGAAUGUGAUCCUCUACUAAAAUAAGGCAGUAACGCCAGCAACAAUGCAUGCAUAUAUGUUCACAUCACCGGUGCGGUCUGGUCCGAACAAACAGAUAUAUAGAGAUAUAGUAGCAUGCGACGUCACGCACCAUCAGAAAGAUAGCAUAGUGCUAGGUAGCCAAACUGCAGGUGAUGAUUAGAGACUGAAGAACAAGCUGGGGCGCGAUCCAUGUUGGGCUUGUCAAUUUGCGGCCUUCACUUCAGUGAUGGUUUCCCCUGAGGUCAACUCUUCGGUCUUCAUGCUGCUGAGAGUAACGAAGGAAAGAGCAAACACCACGAAGACGGCCGUCUUGGAAGUUAACUCUAUCACACCCAGAGCUCUUAAUCCAUACAUCUUAAGGCGCCUGCGGGUAGAGAGAGGUAUUAUGGAGGACAAGUGAGGUUAUAGAUAAACUCAUGUCAGACAAAUAGGAAAUUGAUGAAGAAAUGGAUCCAAGUGUAUAUAUCCUACUCAUAGCCGGUCCGUGGCGCAGAAAGAGCAGAAAGAUGCUUCUCGCCAGUAGGAUCCCCCGCCUUAACUAAGGCAUCAUUGAACUCCUUCAGCUUAAGCUCCGCAUAAGAAAGCGCGUCAUACAGCGCCUCCUUCCGCUGGAUCUCUUGCGCUUGCUGGAUUCAUGAACACAGAUAAUAAUCAAUCAAUGUUGUUACUUUGUAGUAUCAUCAAUCAUUAAGAGUAAGUGCGAUUGUGAUUGGUAAAUAAUACUACCUUCGUCCCAUAAUAUAAGAGCGUUUUUGCCACUUUGACUAGUGUCAAAAAUGCUCUUAUAUUAUGAGACGGAGGGAGUAAUAAUUAAGAAGGAUGGACACUGUCGUGCCUGCCAGUUAAGCGAGGUUGGAUGCGUGCAGAAAGCAAAGCACCAUGCAUGUGUAGCGAACCAAUAACAGAGCCUCGAUCCGCGUUUUUCACACAAACAUCACGGAGGGGCGGAGGGCGUAAACAAUACCAGCAAGUGCAGGAAGCAGAAGUACAUGUUGCAGUUAAUAAAUUGAUAAAGGGAUGAGCUGCUCAGAUCAGCCAGGACAAUAAUGUUGGCAGAUGAUAUGAUUUGCAAGCGGCAGUAGGUUGAGGUCAGGAUAAACAAGUAUGAGGAUGAUAAGCAAGUGAUUUUGCUCUUGUUUCUUCUAGUUAGUAGUACAAGAAGAUAGAGAUGAUUUGUGCUGUUUGUAUUGUUGCACAGAAGAAUUCGAUCAUCGCUGGCUGCAGUGGUGAGAUGAUUUGCGAGAAGAAGAAGAAAGAAAUGUCGAUUUUGGUUAAGAUAUCUCGGUGGUAAGGUGGCGGGAGCGCAUGAGCCUGCUUGGCACGAGCCGGCGUCGCUCCUCCGCCUGCGCUCGCUGGAGCAGGGAGCCACCGAGCCUCCUCGCCGCGCAUCGAACCGCCGACAUCGUCUCCGGCCUGCCAACAAUUGCUCCGGGAUUAGGAUAAAAAGAAGUCCGUCACGGAUCGCCACCGCCGGCCGGCCGGACCGUCGCGGCACCCCAGCCCCCCACCCCCAUACACACACCAUCGAUCGGGUUGCAGCCGAGGAGAAUGCGGCAGGUGUUGGUGAGCGUACCUUGGGGAUCUGGGCGCUCCUUCUUCCUCGCGCGGCUAGGGUUCCUCCUUCGCCUCCGCCUCCGCCGAGAAGAAUGGAGGGGGAAGUGGGUGGGGUGUUUUUCC